UUACAUACAUAUCCGCAGGGUACUACGAGCGCAGCUCUAAACCCAAAGGACUUGGCGGUGUCUCAGACCCACCUAGAGGAGCCUGUUCUAGAACCGAUAACCCCCGUUAAACCUCACCACUUCUUGUUUUCCCCGCCUAUAUACCGCCGUCGUCAGCUUACCCUGUGAAGGCCCAACAGUAAGCAAAAUGGGCACACCCAAAAACGUCAGGUCGAGGUGUAGCGUACGAAGUGGGAAGAAAUGGGCUACAUUUUCUUUACAAAGAAUAUUACGAAUGGCCUAAUGAAACAUAGGCCUGAAGGUGGAUUUAUUAUUAAAAAGUAAACAGAGCGCACUUUUGAAUUAGGGCUCUGAGA
rnacentral:rRNA from 1 species